CGAUGAACCGGGUUCGCCUGGGGAUUAGUGGCGAACGGGUGAGUAACACGUGGGUAACCUGCCCUUGGCUCUGGGAUAACUCCGGGAAACCGGGGCUAAUACCGGAUAUGACUAGGCUCCGCAUGGGGUUUGGUGGAAAGUUUUUCGGCCAGGGAUGGGCCCGCGGCCUAUCAGCUUGUUGGUGGGGUGAUGGCCUACCAAGGCGUCGACGGGUAGCCGGCCUGAGAGGGUGAUCGGCCACACUGGGACUGAGACACGGCCCAGACUCCUGCGGGAGGCAGCAGUGGGGAAUAUUGCGCAAUGGGCGGAAGCCUGACGCAGCGACGCCGCGUGGGGGAUGACGGCCUUCGGGUUGUAAACCUCUUUCAGCAGGGACCAAGCGUGAGUGAGUGUACCUGCAGAAGAAGCACCGGCUAACUACGUGCCAGCAGCCGCGGUAAUACGUAGGGUGCAAGCGUUGUCCGGAUUUAUUGGGCGUAAAGGGCUCGUAGGCGGCUGGUCGCGUCGGAAGUGAAAGCUCGGGUCUCAACCUCGAGUCUGCUUCCGGUACGGGCCGG
rnacentral:rRNA from 1 species